CAGACCUUGUACAGUAUUGAUCAAAUGACAAGAUAUAUACUCGUUCUCGAUCACAGACACCGUAUUUCCUACCAAUAUUCAAAAACUGUCAAUGCAAACACCAGGGCAUGCAAGCAUUUGUCAGAUAUCAGACCCCCGCAAUUUGUGUAUCCUAUUUGAACAAUAUGCGCACUUGUUCAAUAAUGAACUGAUUCAACUGGAUAAUUUAUAGAACAAUUCCACUGGAUUCUCCUUAUUUUCUCGAGAAGCGGUCAGGGUUUUUGCCUCCAUCAACGCAAACACCGUUGCACUGGCCCGAAAACAGAACAGACCAGUUUCCCCACUGCGGACGAAAAAGAGGGUAUAUUUACAUGUAUCACAUGUUUUCCUUCAAUAAAACAAAUUACAGAAAAUAAGCUCAACAAAUUUAGCUCAAUGUAAACUGUCAUCUGGUGCAGUAUGAUCACAUUUUGCAAUGAAAUUGCAAAAAAUGUAAAUUAAAUUCAUAUUUCCUAUUUACUUAUAAUUCACUGUAUUUACUCAAACUUCGUGGCAUGCUAUUAAUAGUUUUUAUACAUAUAUAUUUUUUCUCAUCAUUUUAAUGGUAAUCACCCUGAUUAUACGUAAUGAUGAACUCGGUAAAUCCAAAUUGAAUUAUCACCAGAUCGUCGUAAGCAAUGAGUUGAUAGGGAUUUUAUUAACUGUCUUCAUUAAGAGCCGCAUUACAUUGUUAAUAAAUUAACGAUUUCAUUGUAGGAAAACGGUUACGUAACUCGCACUGGUCAGGGCUUUGUCUGCUGUCGAUAGCACCCUCCAUAUUUGUCACCGUUCAUUAGCAGUUCUUUCACAUGCAGGGUCGGUGAUUUGAGUUGAUAACGAAUACUCAAGACUGGGGAUUGAGAACUGACAAAAACACCAUCCUAACCCGAUGCUAAUGAAAUGCGGAAGCUGUGAACAAGUUUCACAGAUUUCUAACCAGAUUUUUUUCCGUUUUCCGUGUACUUUAUCUGCCUAUUAUAGAAUAUCAUGUCAAUGUUGAUACAUGUAUAUAUAAAGACAAUCCAUCAUAUCUAUUAGAAAGACUUUGUCAUAUGAUUAUGAAUGUUGUGUUAAUGAACGCAUUUUCAAGCAUUAUGAAUUGUAUGACUCGUAUGUAUUUUAAAUUUUUGAAUGUAUUCUACAUAUCAAAAUAUCUUAAAUUAUAUGUUGACCACAAUAGAAAACUACCGUCGAACAAAAAAAAUUAUAGGCCUACAAUUCAUACAAAUAAGAGUAGAAUUCAGUAUUUGCAGUACGUAUAAUGCGUUUUCAUUUCCAUUUCAAAAAUAUACUAUUUUUCUUAUAUACUGCAUACUACAAAUAUAGUGAUAGUGUGUAUGAACAACCUGCUUCCAAUACUAAAGAACGGUUAAAUACAGUAUGCGUAAAAGUUUUCAAUUAAAUAAAAAAACCCAUAAAAAUCCUAAUUAUCUAUAUACAUUUAAUUUUACAUAUACGUAAGGGCCAUUCAUGAAAUUCCUCAUUGCAUACAUUUUCAUUUGCAAUUAGAAAACUACACAAACAUAUACAUGAAAAUAGACACAAACAAUAAGGCUGUAAGUUCUUUGCAAAACUUAGUUAUAAUAUACAAUUUCUAACACAGUCUAAGAUUUUAAAACUUUACUGUAAGCCGAUAAAUAAUAUAGGCUAACAAAAAUGCACCACUUUUUAUCUUACUAGCCUUUCAAACUGUUUUGUUCGUUUUCAAUUUUAUUUUAUAUUCAAAUGUAAUGAACAGAAUUUUUCAAAUCAAUUCAGAACAAUUUGAACAACAGUUAUCAGAUUUACAAUAAUAAUAUACAAAUAAAAAUAGGCGAUGAAAUGUCUUUUUUGAUAUAGAAAUGUAGCCUGCAAAGCCCUUUAUUGUCAUUUGAAAGGAAAUAACAAAAGGGUAACCAUCACACGUGAAUCAGCGCGGAAGAGCAGGAUUACAAUAGACGCCAAGAUACAGUUACAUGUAAUGCAUUAUUGCGGUAAUCCCAUAAUGUAAUAUCUACUCGCACGAAUAUCUGUAUAUUUCAGUGAAAUAUACUAGACGUGAGCCGCGCGCAAUGCUGUAAAUUUCUCUUGUAGUCGGAUGCAAUGGAAAUAGACAUGAAAUUUUGUAAAUUUCUCUUAAAGGAGUUCAGGAUGGAAAUGAAAUAGACUUGACAUGCUGUAAAUUUCUGUUGGAGUCGGGUUCAUUUCUGGGCGUUCGGAAAUCAAUUGCCUGUGUUUCCUCACAAACGACUGGAGAGGCUGGAUCAAAUCAAUGAGUGGGGCCGUCCUUAUAUACAGAAUGAAAGAAAUAUCAAUAACUAUAGAGCGACUUCUUCACAAUACAUGUUAGACCAAAUUCCUUUCUGUUUAUCUGUAUAUCCGUUGAUUUUAAGGUAUCUAUUAAUACACUGUAAGAAAAAAUUAUUUCAUGUAUUGAAUUAGAUUUUUCAGAAAGAAGAAGAAAAA